CCUACGGGCGGCAGCAGUGGGGAAUAUUGGACAAUGGGGGCAACCCUGAUCCAGCCAUGCCGCGUGUGUGAAGAAGGCCUUCGGGUUGUAAAGCACUUUCAGUGAGGAAGAACGCCUGGUGGUUAAUACCCAUCAGGAAAGACAUCACUCACAGAAGAAGCACCGGCUAACUCCGUGCCAGCAGCCGCGGUAAUACGGAGGGUGCGAGCGUUAAUCGGAAUUACUGGGCGUAAAGCGCGCGUAGGUGGCUUGAUAAGCCGGUUGUGAAAGCCCCGGGCUCAACCUGGGAACGGCAUCCGGAACUGUCAAGCUAGAGUGCAGGAGAGGAAGGUAGAAUUCCCGGUGUAGCGGUGAAAUGCGUAGAGAUCGGGAGGAAUACCAGUGGCGAAGGCGGCCUUCUGGACUGACACUGACACUGAGGUGCGAAAGCGUGGGUAGCAAACAGGAUUAGAUACCCUAGUAGUC
rnacentral:rRNA from 1 species